ensembl:lncRNA
CUGUGGUUCAAACUGUAGUGCAUGGCGCUAAUAAAGUCAAGGUCAUGGGUUCGAUUCCCAGGGAAUUCAUGAACUUAUAAAAUUUAUUCUUUAAAUACAAUGUAUUAAAGUAUCUGCCAAAUGCAUUAAUAUAAAUGACUAACAAGAGACAAAAUGUUACAAACCAUAUUUUCCUCUUCUUGGUUCAGUGCUCUUGAUGGUUUAAUUUCCACCAAACUCAAUUUUGCAUGUCUCAGCAGCUUUGUUUUGGAGAGGAUGUUGCUUAAAGCCUUUGUAAUACCAACCCAUUUGCAAGACAAAUUUGGCUCCAUACGAACAAUACGGGCUUGUAUCUCUGCAACACUGACGUAUUGGCUCUGUAUGAUUGCCAUAAUACCUUGAUCUGUUUGGUGACUAUGAUGAACAACUCCUCAAUUCAUUUUUGUUUACUGUUCCUGCUUCUUAAUUUGUCCAAUCUAUGGCAAAAUUGGCUCACAUCAUAUUCAGAUCAAACCUCAUGAAAUUCACCAAAACAAUGUUAGGUGUUCAGUACAGUUCUCUAAAAAUAACUUGGCAAAGCCACCAAAUGGAAAAUGAGAUCGGAGGAUUGUUUUGUAUAUUGACACAAAACUUUGUGCACCUUAUUUCUAAUGUGGCUAAUCUAAUUUCAGAUGUGGCCAUUUAUAAUUUGUAUGUUGGAGGCUGUUCUAUUCUUCUAUUUAUUUACCUAUAACAGAUGAAGAUCAGACAUUUCGCACAUUCGGAAAAAUAAAAAAUAAAAUGCUUACUUUCAUGUUGCAAAGUAAGGUGAUUAUAAUUUCCACAAUGCCCUAAUAUUUAAAUGCAAGUCAAAUGCUAUAAAGUUUCUAAUUUGAAAAUUUACUCCUGGCCUUUGAAUACUUUUCCUGUAUCCAACACUAGGGGUGCUGUGACCAAACAAAAAAAAUAAUUUAACAUUGUAAAGGCUGUGCUGUUGUUGUUUGUCCCUCUCAUUCCCUAUGAUGUAUCAUGUAAUUCUUUAUAUUAAGUUUAUAUUAAUCCAUACGUGAAGAUAAGAUAGUGCCACUAUCAUGCAAGUUCUCGGUGUAAAGGUGCACGAGUGUGUGUUUGAUGGAAUAACUCGCAUACAGACAGUGGGUGUGUAAAGUAUGAAUGCAUGUGAUUGUUGAGCACUGUGAAUGUGGGGUUUUGUGUUUUUUAUUUGGUAAAAAUCUCCAGACAGGCAAGCAUGCGACCUGCGCUCUGAUGGUGGUCUCUCCUGUCCUGAUGCAUGCUACAGGUACAGAAAACCGCAUGGUACAGGAUACGCUUUUAUUCUGUUAUGUGCAAACUUCAAAUAUGGAAAGCUAACAAAUGCUUCAGUAACAGAUAAAAGCAAAAUGUUAUUUUGUUUAAAGGGAAAGUGCACCCAAAAAUAAGACAUCAGACGCUCACUCUUGUGAUUUUCAGAACUGUUUGACUUUCUUUCUUCUGUGAAACACUAAACUCUUCAUUAACUAUUAUAAUAAUAUUAUAAAAAUAUAUAUUAAAAAUUUUAAAACAACCAUAAAAUUGGAUUAUGGCUUAAAUUUGAGUCUGUUUCUCACAUAAAGGACUGUAUGACUUCAGAAGACUUGGAAUAUAGUGGAAGAAGUAUGCACUACUUUUGUCUUUUUCUGAGCUUGCCAGUACACCUUAAAUGCAAUGUAUAAAAAGUAUGAACAUCUUUUGUAUUUCAGAGAGGAAAAAAAAACAAAAUCAAUAGGUUCGGGAUGAAAUUAUGACUUUUUGGAUGCACUGUUCCUUUAAGAGCUCACUCAAACUGAUUUGAGUGUUUGAAGAUGAUUUGUGGUGUUCAUAUUUCAUUUCAUGAUGGAACCAAUAGGUACUUCAAGCAGAUUUCUGUCUGUUCAAAGAAGGUGAAGCUGUUUGGUUUCUAUUUUAUAUUUAUGAUCCAUUAUUGUCUUAUUUGUUAGAUUCUUUUAUGCCACUGCCAAAAGAAAACCUCUUCCCCCAUGUUUCCUUCACUUGCCUUAAUUACUACAUGCUAAACUUUUAUUUGGUUUGUUUGGAUGGUUGGUUGAAACACAGCCAGCUUUAGUUCUCAUAAGUCACCCACUGUGAAUAAUUGUUUUCACAAAAUAGAUUUAGUACCAUUUAGAUCACAACGUAAACCUGUAUCUGUUGAUUUGGUAAGUGAUUACAGUGAUCUCUUCUUCAUAUGAUCUGAAAUUCUGUUUAAAUCUUGUUCAUAGGUGGACAUUGAGCUGUAAGCUUUCUUUUGCCAAAGCAUUUUUAGCCGACCAUUGUAGAAUUUGAACUGACUGAUUCACCACACUUGUGUAAAUCAUGUCUGGUGUUUUGUUUGCAUUAAAAGUAGAUUAAUGAUGAACAGAUUUUUAUGUUGUUUCUGAAUGUGUUUAUAUUGCCGUAAAAAUUGCAUCCACU